AAGUAUGACUUGUAAAACACGAAUGGUCGAAUAUUAGAUUCACUCUCACCCACUCCACUGAGAACUAAGUCGAGAGAUCGUCGGCGAUAGAGAGUAGGAGAAAGGAAUUUGAAAGAAAAAUGGCGUCGAACCAAGUGAGGGCAUCCCACAUACUCAUCAAACACGAAGGAUCUAGACGUAAAUCUUCAUGGAAAGAUCCAGAAGGUCGCAUCAUCUGUAACACCACCAGAGACGCCGCCGCUUCCCAGCUCAAAUCCUUUCGCGAUGACAUCAUCUCCGGCAAGUCCAAGUUCGAAGAUGUUGCUUCUCGCUUCUCUGAUUGCAGCUCUGCCAAACGCGGCGGCGAUCUCGGUCCAUUU
rnacentral:misc_RNA from 1 species